rnacentral:snoRNA from 1 species
AGACCAUGAUGUGGGCAUUUUCUUAGUAGGUCUUUGUAUGUCUCACACGCUUCAUAUAAUAAUUCCAUCUCGAACUGAGCAAAGGUUGUGAUAUCAUUCCUCAACUU